CGAGAUGCCUCUCUUAUCGGGCGAAUAGGACUCUGAACAAGCUCUAUUUUCCCUGAUCAGGAAGGCAUUCUCCGUUUAACGCGCCGACCCCAACUAAACGUCCAUCGGUGGAUUCAG
rfam:Frondihabitans sp. PAMC28766 plasmid 1, complete sequence.